rfam:Sweet clover necrotic mosaic virus unidentified genes, three complete cds's including fusion protein.
UAAACGUUUCACCGGUUUGUAAAUUGGAACUUCGUAGUUCGCCAGACGCCUUCUUCGUAUCAAGGAACUGGAAAUUGUACGGUGAGUCUGUCAUUUUAUUUUCUACUUUUCGUACCAGUC